UGGACUUUGUGUAGAGUGGAAGACCGGAUGCACGCGACAGCCACAGGACAGUUAAACUGCUCCUGCCCCAGCACCAGCAACCUCAGGAAGUUUCUGUCGCCCCUCUGUUGAGUUUGCGGCAGGCGUGAACCUUUGGAAAGCAGUCUCUGCACUGCAGUCUCCCACCAAAGCCCCUCUUGUGAGCACGGCCCAGCUUCGUCCUGUCCUCUGUGUCCUGCAUGGACAUCGGGAUGGAGAGUGUGUCCCCUGAGAGAGGGGCCUCGCGGCAGGGGACCGAGAGAUGGGCAGACGGCUCAUGGAAAGCAGAAGGGUCAGGAAGAUGCACUGUGUGCCACGAUGACCGCAAUCCAUGCUAUGGCAAAGGCAGACUUCACCUCUUCCUCAGGGAGCACCACGCCAGACACAGCUGCUGUGCCGCGUGGGUCCUUUCGGGAUUCUCGAAGGUGUGCGUGCAUCCCGGACAGGCCAGAGUGACAGCCGACCAUCCAGAUCACCACAAUUAAGACAGACAACAUUUGCCUCAACACAGGAUGUGCAGUUGUGGGAAGAAAUACUACAACUUCAUUUU
rnacentral:lncRNA from 1 species